rnacentral:rRNA from 1 species
AUGCCUCCUCUCAGUUGUCUGUAACCGUAGCUGACUUCACUGCUGUCACCCGUGAGGUGCGGGUCAUCCAAUUGAACCGAGCUCCACCCCUGUGUGCUCCCCCGCCAAUUCCCUUAAGUUUCAAUCUUGCGAUCGUACUCCCCAGGCGGUCCGUUUAACACCUACGCUCCGGCACCACAAUCCCACGUAAGAUCGUGACACAAACGGACAACGUUUACAGCUAGACUACUGGGUAUCUAAUCC